CAGCCGGAAGACUGCAACUUUGCAGAAUCAUCAGAAGCAUCUUCCAUAUACAAAACGCAGUUGGAGAACCCACUGACCCCGUACGAAUGACAGGCCUGUGCUGAGAGGCAGCAGUGAAAGGCUAUGAUCUUCUCUGGAGACAGAGAAGACAGUAUAGCACAGAGAAGAGAAGUAUGACCCCGCAACAUGAAGAGAGGGGACUAGAGAGAGAGAAUCACCACUCUGGCUCUCUUGAGGUGGGAUUCUCUUAUGACAAAUUACCGGGUAAGCGGCAGGAAGGAGCGACGUGACCUUGCGGGGAAUUUACGGUGCAGAGGAAUUUAGGCCCCACCAGACAUGCCACCUCCUGACAAUGAGCACAUGGACUCCAGCCUCAGUGCAGUCAGAAGGCUGACAGCUAACACUCCUGAAACAGUCCCUUGUCACCUCACCAAGGACCCAUCAGAACAAGCACAUGGACUCCAGCCUCAGUGCAGUCAGAAGGCUGACAGCUAACACUCCUGAAACAGUCCCCUGUCACCUCACCUAGGACCCAUCAGAACAAUGCCACAAGCUCAUCCCACAUCCGGCAACCCUUUCCCAUAACCUUUAAAAGCCCUUGCUUAUAAGCCAAUAGUGAGUGCAGGGCUUUAAGCUUUAGCUAUCCAUUCUCCUUGCUUGGGGAACACCCACCUUCUUUCACCAAAUCCCAAAGUCAGGGUUUGGUUUCACUGCUCAUGUCACUGUUUGGCUUUGCUAUAUGUUGGCU